GUAUUGCCCGAUCAAGCUCGUAUGUGAUAUUAUGACUGUGUCGCUUUUUUUUGGGGUGACUAUGGUGAUAAACGAAUUGCGGAAUAGGCUUUAUGGACCAGGGGGCGGUACCCUGCGCCUCCACCAUCCAUCUUUUUUUUUGUGAGGGGGCGAAAUAGGUUCGACAUGAUGCAUUAAAGGUGGUUUUUUCACUCGGUAUUGUACCACCGUUAUCGGGCUUUUUUUAAUAAAUGCCAAAAAUAUGUUAGGCAGAAGUCUCAGGAGCAGGCGUCAGGUUCGUAUUAGGAACAAAAAUCGUCAGGCUCAGGGUAAGAAAGCAGCUUAAUUGCCUGUAUGGGCCUUUAAUUCUGUUUUUAAGCCUGCCGUCAGUUUAUAUUUUCUUUGGUUAGGAAAUUACGGGCGGUAGAGAGUGCGGUAUGGGGGAAACCGAGCAACAGAAUUCCCCCAAU
rnacentral:tmRNA from 1 species